rnacentral:rRNA from 1 species
UACGUAGGGUGCAAGCGUUAAUCGGAAUUACUGGGCGCAAAGCGUGCGCAGGCGGUUGUGUAAGACAGAUGUGAAAUCCCCGGGCUCAACCUGGGAACUGCAUUUGUGACUGCACAGCUGGAGUGCGGCAGAGGGGGAUGGAAUUCCGCGUGUAGCAGUGAAAUGCGUAGAUAUGCGGAGGAACACCGAUGGCGAAGGCAAUCCCCUGGGCCUGCACUGACGCUCAUGCACGAAAGCGUGGGGAGCAAACAGG